UNGCGGCGNGNCUAAUACAUGCAAGUCNAGCGAAUGGAUUAAGAGCUUGCUCUUAUGAAGUUAGCGGCGGACGGGUGAGUAACACGUGGGUAACCUGCCCAUAAGACUGGGAUAACUCCGGGAAACCGGGGCUAAUACCGGAUAACAUUUUGAACCGCAUGGUUCGAAAUUGAAAGGCGGCUUCGGCUGUCACUUAUGGAUGGACCCGCGUCGCAUUAGCUAGUUGGUGAGGUAACGGCUCACCAAGGCAACGAUGCGUAGCCGACCUGAGAGGGUGAUCGGCCACACUGGGACUGAGACACGGCCCAGACUCCUACGGGAGGCAGCAGUAGGGAAUCUUCCGCAAUGGACGAAAGUCUGACGGAGCAACGCCGCGUGAGUGAUGAAGGCUUUCGGGUCGUAAAACUCUGUUGUUAGGGAAGAACAAGUGCUAGUUGAAUAAGCUGGCACCUUGACGGUACCUAACCAGAAAGCCACGGCUAACUACGUGCCAGCAGCCGCGGUAAUACGUAGGUGGCAAGCGUUAUCCGGAAUUAUUGGGCGUAAAGCGCGCGCAGGUGGUUUCUUAAGUCUGAUGUGAAAGCCCACGGCUCAACCGUGGAGGGUCAUUGGAAACUGGGAGACUUGAGUGCAGAAGAGGAAAGUGGAAUUCCAUGUGUAGCGGUGAAAUGCGUAGAGAUAUGGAGGAACACCAGUGGCGA
rnacentral:rRNA from 1 species